AUGAUUUGUUUCAGUGUUUACUAUCAUGCACCAUUUUCCAUACCUGAAACAUUUCCUCUCUCGUGCUUGCAUGGGCCGUGUGACAUCAGCUCCUUCAGGUUUAAUAUGUGCCACAUCAUUUUGAUUAUACUGGGAGGCAUGAGCACCCUGCAUCUUUACUGGACCUACAUCAUCUUGAAAAUCAAUUAUACAGCAUUUUUCGCUGGAAAAGUAAGUUCCAAAUUAAGUGCAGAGCCCCUAGGUGGCCUUGUACUUCUUCAUUCACAAGCAUGCAAUUUCUCGUCUGUUUUGUUAUUGGCCCAAAUUGUUGAAGUAGCGCAAUAAAAUAAUUUUAUUUCCACAACUACGACCACACACUUUUAUGAUGUUGUGAAAUGUGGAGGCUCUCAUGUAUUAGGAAAUUCAAUCCUUCUACAGAACGAAAUAAGGGAAUUUGAAGAUUCCGCUGAAAGAAAAUGUCGAAGGGCUUUAGCGAAAAAUUGAACUAUCGGUGGUUUUUUAUUGGAACCAGCCUCAAAGUAUCGCUCAAAAUCAGAUUUGAAAAUUGAAAUAAUUAGAAGCCAAUUUUUAAAUUUACCACACUAAUUUAAACUUUUUCAUUUAAGGUCAUUAGGUGGCUCGAAAUUUUUCAAUAUUUAAACCCGUUUAUCUCCAUAUCACACAAAUCGACGGCGAAAGUUCGCAACCCAUGUAUCUAGUUUGCGUUCUUUGAAAUUCUCCGCUCCUAUUUCAUUUUUUUGAAGGAGAACAAAUCGACAUUAUUUCGUGAAGUUUUCGCAAAAAUGUUCUCGCACACAGAACAAAAUCCCAGUAGUUUUCCAUUUAACAAAUAAGGUGUGACAGGAAGUCUGCAACGUUGAAAACCGAGAUACGAGGUUGCGGAAUUAUACCGUCAAAGUGUCACUUAAAAUGUAUAUACACUUUGCAUUUCAUUUGUGAAUACUAAAUCGUCAAUGAUAUUACCAAAAUAACAUAUUAUGUCAAAUAUCUGAAAAAAUCUGUAUGAUUCGCACUUCGACUUAGAAUACGAACUAGCAAUAUGCAUAAUUGGAUUACAUUUUGCAAUAAGGAGCCACUAUCUAUGGCUCUUCCGUAAAAGCACCUUUCUGCAUAGGGAAACUAAUGGCAUAUAUGUUGUUUCUAAAAUGAGCCAGAAAUAUGGGUUUCAUAAUGCAAAAUGCAAUCUAAUUAAUCAUCUUCGAUGAAGUCAUUAAAAUGAUAUUUUAAGUCGUUGCUCUUAGUGAUGAAAGAAACUUCAAAGGGAGCCACCUUUUCAAUCCCUUUUAAUAAUCCUCAUUAUGGCGAAUAUUACAAGUUGGCAACAUUGUUUUUCUUUAAUUUAAACAUAUGGAAAUGAAUCGAUUCUCGGAGGAGCCGGAUGCUCCUUCAAGGAUCGAUUUUUCAACUCGGGUUUAAAUUGAAAAAAACUAGCGUCUCUAAUAUACUAGAAUUACUAGGUCCACUUUUGCAACACAUAUUUUUCACGGAUGCUAUCCUUUUUUUCAGCUAAAAGAUGACACACACGCGGUGUCGGAUGAUGACGAAGACGACACGGCAAAGAGAGUCACUCCUAAAUAAGAGAGCUGGCCCGUCAGAACUAACGGCUGAAUAGAUUACGUCAUAUGAUGCGGACUUGUAUUCAAUCGGAUGAUUGAAAAAAUUUAACCGAACAUCAGGCAAUAUACUGUAUUAUUUUUAUCAUGAGGUAUUUGCCGCAAGCUCUACACCCCACCCCUCAUGUUAACGUUUUCCUAUGAUCUGGAAAAAAUGGCGCCCGAGUGCAUUUAUUUAUUAAAGCUAUGAUAUGGAGGAUUAAGCGCGAUCUCUGAUUCUGAUGCCUAAAGCAGUGGUGAGGCGUGAAUGAUUAAUUUUCGAUAUCUCUCCAUUUGAAGCUGUGGUAAAGAAUCGAUUAUUAAGGUGUUCGUUGCAAACAUCCUGUUUAUCGAUCCUUUCCCAUGGGUUCAAAUGGCCGAUCAAUCGAUAUAUGGCAAAUUACGGCAAGUCACGGGCCUAAAGGUUUUAUGAAAAUGUAAUGAGUUGAAGGAUGUCUCUCCAGCAAUCGGAAUAACUUUAUAACGGCAAGUAUAAAAGUGAGUAAAGAAAAAAAAAUCCGAAGUGAUAAAAUAGAAUAGAUUGCUGGUGUAUACGUGAUAAUAAGGAUUCGAGAAUACAUCCAGUGUGAUGCACCAAUAAUGCACCAUGCAUGAGAAUUACCGCAGAACCGCAGGCUGACAACCAAAAUCUGUAAACUGUAAGUCUCUCUAUGAAGCUUGUUAAAGCGGGUUACAAAUCGACGGUGAAACUACCAGACCACGUGUCUCGUUUGCGGUGUUUAAAAAUAAAAAUGUCCGCUCACAUUUAAUUUUAUGAAGGAGACCAGAUCAAUAUCAUUCCUUGAAAUUUCCGCAGAGUUUUCGCCGCACCAAGAGGAAAAAUCACGGCGGUUCUUAAGAACUAAAGUUGGAUAGUUUUCCCUUUAAAAAAUAAAGUAUGACAAGAAGUCUGCAAUGUCGCAAACCGAGAUCUAUGGUCUGGUAGUUUCACUGUCGAAAUAGUUUUUCCGAUUUUCCUUCACGUGUAAAAAUCCAAGCUAAGCAUGGACCCAUUCCUUCCUAUUUUUCUCUUGAAAAUGUGCACUAAUUUUUCAUUUUAAUAAUGUUGUUCUGUUAAAAUGGAAAAAAUGUAAUUCCCUGUUUAUUUCCUCGUAUGUUGUAUAUAUGUGUAAAGAUAAAUCGUCAAAAAUAUGUGUCGUUCUUUUCUUUCACCCUAGUCCUGCUUUAUUACUUCAUGCAAAGUCAAUCUAAAAGAAAGUUAUUUUAAGUAUAUGUUUCAAAUUUUAGCCGAUAUCAACGCCUCUCCUUUUAAUCGGUAGCAUCAGUUGCGUUAUUGAAUUUAAAAUCAAUCCUGAGCGUUAAAGUAGUGGUACCAUUGGUUGACUCAAUGACGUUAUCGAUGCUUUUCGGGAAGAGAAUGGUGGCUUCCACUAUGUGCCUUGUUGAUUUUGGCGCCAAUCAAGAAUGUCUCUCUCAGUAUGUUUUUGCAAACGCAUACGUGAGAAUCUAAAACCUCCUGAGAAAUGGAAAGCAUUUUGUAUUUUGCGUCAAGACCAUCGAUAACCGUAAAGCGCACAUUUCAUUGUACAUGCUUCUAGCUAGAGGAUCCGAAGUUCACAUUUACUGUACUCAGGGAUCACUUAUUUCAAGGGAUUUUCAUUUACACUGCAGUAGUUACUUGUAAUUUAGUUACUAAGUCAGAUCGAGUGUUCUCGAUUUUAAAUUCUAAUAACUUCUAAUAACUUCUGAAAGCGUGCACGAAAUAUUCAUUUCUGAACACAGAUCGUUCUAGCGCUCUACCUGGCCGUUUCAUUAUUUUUGCCGCUGUUGACAAGUUGAGCCCCCUCUGUUCAGAUUUUAGAACAUUAAUCCACGCGGACCCUAGAGGGCGCGAAGCUUCUUCGAGGACUUGGACCGCGUAUCCCCGUGGUAUAUAACUGAGCAGUCCUGUGCCAUUACCAUAUUCUUUACUCUUCGUAAGUAUUCUUUAACCUCCACAGGUUACGUAAGUAACCUACCCGUGGAGGGUGGAGAAGGUGACUCCUAUUUUCAUACCCGUGCGUUGAAGUCACUGGAAGUUGUCG
rnacentral:lncRNA from 1 species